rnacentral:rRNA from 1 species
GACGAACGCUGGCGGCGUGCCUAAUACAUGCAAGUCGAGCGAAGUUUUUCUGGUGCUUGCACCGGAAAAACUUAGCGGCGAACGGGUGAGUAACACGUAAAGAACCUGCCUCAUAGACUGGGACAACUAUUGGAAACGAUAGCUAAUACCGGAUAAUAGCAUUAACUGCAUGGUUGAUGUUUAAAAGUUGGUUUUGCUAACACUAUGAGAUGGCUUUGCGGUGCAUUAGCCAGUUGGUGGGGUAAAGGCCUACCAAGGCGACGAUGCAUAGCCGACCUGAGCGGGUGAUCGGCCACACUGGGACUGAGACACGGCCCAGACUCCUACGGGAGGCAGCAGUAGGGAAUCUUCCGCAAUGGGCGAAAGCCUGACGGAGCAACGCCGCGUGAGUGAAGAAGGAUUUCGGUUCGUAAAGCUCUGUUGUUAGGGAAGAAUGAUUGUGUAGUAACUAUACACAGUAGAGACGGUACCUAACCAGAAAGCCACGGCUAACUACGUG